UGACGGGGGCCCCGCACAAGCAGUGGAGUAUGUGGUUUAAUUCGACGCAACGCGAAGAACCUUACCAAGUCUUGACAUCCUGCGACGAGUACAGAAAUGUGCUUUUCCUUCGGGACGCAGAGACAGGUGGUGCAUGGUUGUCGUCAGCUCGUGUCGUGAGAUGUUGGGUUAAGUCCCGCAACGAGCGCAACCCUUAUGGAUAGUUACUACGCAAGAGGACUCUAUUCAGACUGCCGUUGACAAAACGGAGGAAGGUGGGGAUGACGUCAAAUCAUCAUGCCCUUUAUGACUUGGGCUACACACGUACUACAAUGGCGUUCAACAAAGAGAAGCGAAAUCGCGAGAUGGAGCAAAACUCAAAAACAACGUCCCAGUUCAGAUUGCAGGCUGCAACUCGCCUGCAUGAAGUCGGAAUUGCUAGUAAUCGCAGAUCAGCAUGCUGCGGUGAAUACGUUCCCGGGCCUUGUACACUCCGCCCGU
rnacentral:rRNA from 1 species